GUAAGGGACCGAGCGUUGUCCGGAAUCAUUGGGCGUAAAGGGUACGUAGGCGGGCUAGAAAAGUUAGAAGUCAAAGGGCUAUAGCUCAACUAUAGUAAGCUUCUAAAACUAUUUAGCUUGAGAAAUGGAAGGGAAAGUGGAAUUCCUAGUGUAGCGGUGGAAUGCGCAGAUAUUAGGAAGAAUACCGGUGGCGAAGGCGACUUUCUGGCCAUUAUCUGACGCUGAGGUACGAAAGCGUGGGUAGCAAACAGGAUUAGAUACCCUGGUAGUCCACGCCGUAAACGAUGAGUGUUAGGUGUCUGGAGUCAAAUCUGGGUGCCGCAGCAAACGCAUUAAACACUCCGCCUGGGGAGUACGCACGCAAGUGUG
rnacentral:rRNA from 1 species